CCAGCAGUAAAGAUAAAACAAAGGUGCCACCCCUCAGAGAGGUCCCAAUGGGGAGUGCACAAGGUAGAAUAGGACAUGGAAAUGCACCCCUCACCUCUUCAGAAGUGAGGCAUUUUAAAAAGGAAAUGGAGGUAUCAUUCAGUGACCCAGUAGGUUUGUCAGAACAAUUUGACCAGUUCUUAGGCCCUAGGAUUUACCCUUGGGGAGAAUUAAAUUCAAUCAUGCAAACCUUUUCUCUCCAGAGAAGAGAAAAGUUAUUUAGACUGCAGGGAUCAAUAUAUUGGACAGAGAACAUAAUUUAGGACCAAAUGGAGAGAAGAAAUUACCAUUAACUGAUCCAGAAUGGAACCCUAACUCAGAUGAGGGAAGAAAAAGUAUAGCAGAAUACAGAACCCGAAUUGUAAGGGGAAUAAAAGAGGCAGUCCCCAGAGUUAAUAACAUGAAGAAAGCCUUUGGAAGCGAACAAGAAAAAGAUGAGAGCCCAACUGACUGUAUAACUCGCUUAAAGAAUGACAUCCAAAUAUAUUCAGAAAUAGAUUUAGAUAGUGAAGGAGGGAAGACAAUGUUCUAGGUCCACUUUGCAUUACAUUCUUGGCCUGACAUAAAACGGAAAUUAGAGAAAUUGGAUGGCCAGAAAUUAGUUUAGAUGAGUUAUUAGCUGAAGCACAGUAAGUUUAUGCCAGGUGAAAUGAAGAGAAAAUGAAGACUAAAGCUAAGAUGAUGGCUGCUGUCCAAAUUCCUAAACCAAUUAGGCAGGAUGGGGAGAAUACUCAAUUGAAGAAACCUAUUUGCUUUUAUUGUAAGAAAGAAGACCAUAUGCAAUCCUGCUGUUUUAAGACAUUGAGGGACUUAAGAGAUUCUCCAAGUGGAGAAUCAACCCUCAGAGAACUGAGGGGGCCUGGGGCUCUUCUUCUAGGGGCACAAAAACCAUCUUCCAGAGCCCUUGAUAAAAUCAAGAAUAGGACCCCAAGAACAAUUAAUGGAAUUUUUAGUAGACACAGGAGCAGAGAAAACUUGUGUAAGUGAAAAACCAAAUGGAUGUGCCAUAAGCAAAGACACUUUCAAUAUUUGUGCUGUUAAAGGGGAAUCCUUCCCCAUUCCCAUCAUUAAGAAUGUCACUAUAAAGGGUAAUGGACUAACCAGAAAUGGAGAUUUGUUUUUCUACCUCCAGCAGGUAACAGCUUCCUUGGCCGGGAUCUCCAGAUACCUUUGAAAGUUCGAGUAGUUCCACAAGAAGGAAGGAUGAAGGUCAAAUUGUUUACUUUAUCCACACAAGAUGAACAGCUGAUUAUUCCUAUAGUGUAGGCCUGAACAGAUUCUCCUUCUAGACACCUGUUUGCCUUCACCUGGGAAGAUCCAGACACUGGAAGGAAACAGCAGCUCACCUGGACCUGGCAGCUGUAAGGGAGAAACAACAUGAAUAGAACCAAGGCCAGUUCGAGGAAGGACUUUCCUGCAUUUAGGUCCCUUCCUGCAUCCAGGUUGAACUGGUUACUUGAUGCCAUAGCAACUGUGCAAACUAAUGAGAGAGCUUCCCAUCGAAAACCUCAGAGAUAUGAUCCCACCCCAGUGACAGCACACUCUGGGAAAGAAGAUCUUACCCCAUCAUCUACUAGCACCAAUCACCAGAGACUAUGGGGGCAGAACUGCAAGUACAGACUGAGGGGACCGAGAAUAUCAAAGGGGCAGCCUGACCUGAAGAGCUGUCUUUGCUGUCUUUUACUGUUCCUGGGACUGUGACUUAGCUACAGCAGGGGACCCCACAGUACAGAUUUCAGUCAAUAUCUCUUUUUAGAGACCUUUUUCCAGAUUUGAGGGCAGACUAAGUGCAUUCACUGCAAUGCUCUUGGGUUCUUGCC